GGAUGUGAGGGCGAUCUGGCUACAACAUGUGUCAUCCCAUUGAUCACCAGGUUGAUUCGACUGAUCUGGCUGGCUAGGCGGGUGUCCGCUUCCUCCCUCAGUGCUCCAUGUGCGUCCUUCCCAAAGCUGUGCACUUUAUCGAAGAGGAUGACCACCCCCGAUAGAGGACCGUUCCCAGGUCAAGGGUAUUUGAGUAGCCGCUCUCCUGCUAGAACCUCUAAACAAGCUCUCUGUGCCUUUGAGAGAUUUCUUGGUUACCAAAUCAGGCUCAGACUUGGGUUAAUUGAAGCAGAAUAUUUUUGCAUGUCUUG
rnacentral:snRNA from 1 species